UUACUGCUCCUUAUACGCCAAUAACAGAUAUCCAUGCCUUAAACAUCGGGCAAACACUCGCUGUAUAGCUGAUGGCUUAUCAGUCACUAGUCGAGACGCGGUCGACUAGGUACGCGCAGCGAAUCGCAAAAUUUUAUAUCGCUUGUGUCAUAACUAAAUUCUAGUGACAAAGAACAUUGGUGUGUGUUUAAUUGAGCAUUUAUAGAGCCAACCAAUAAAAACUAUGAAAAAUAAAAAUCUUAAAAAGUUAUGAAUUCAGAGCACUAAACACAGUUUCUUUUUUAAACGUCUUUGCAAGUGUGCCAUGGACAAUUACGAGUAUAUUACCUCAUAAAUUCAACCAUAGACACGGAUGAGGUGAUAAAACGAAAGUAUGGAGAAAAAUAAACGGAGUCUCCUAUGUUGUUCCGGGCUCGUGUCAUCAUCAAUAGAAGAGGUGAGUG
rnacentral:lncRNA from 1 species